UACGGGGGGGGCAAGCGUUGUUCGGAAUUACUGGGCGUAAAGGGCUUGUAGGUGGCCAACUAAGUCAGACGUGAAAUCCCUCGGCUUAACCGGGGAACUGCGUCUGAUACUGGAUGGCUAGAGAUUGGGAGAGGGAUGCGGAAUUCCAGGUGUAGCGGUGAAAUUCGUAGAUAUUGGGAAGAACACCGGUGGCGAAGGCGGCUCUCUGGACCGAGACUGACGCUGAGGCGCGAAAGCGUGGGGAGCAAACAGG
rnacentral:rRNA from 1 species